CCCUUAGAUGUUCUGGGCCGCACGCGCGCUACACUGAUUCAUGCAACAAGUUUUGUCCUUGGCUGAUAGGCCUGGGUAAUCUUUGAACGUGAAUCGUGAUGGGGAUAGAUGAUUGCAAUUAUUCAUCUUCAACGAGGAAUUCCUAGUAAACGCAAGUCAUCAGCUUGCAUUGAUUACGUCCCUGCCCUUUGUACACACCGCCCGUCGCACCUACCGAUCGAAUGGUCCGGUGAAAUCUUCGGAUCUGAGAGAUGUCUGAUUAAUUUCGGACGCCUUUUGGAAAAGUUGCUUAAACCUUACCAUUUAGAGGAAGGUGAAGUCGUAACA
rnacentral:rRNA from 1 species